CUGAAGGCAUCAAGACCUUAAAUCCAGAGCCGCUGAGUUGCACAACAGCAGGGGGCACCAUUCUCCUGGGAUACCAGGGAAGUCAUUUAACACAAUGUAUGAUGUCUAUUGGAGCUGUGGGGAUGUGGCCCUUUUUGGAAUUUCUGAGAUCACAGUUUGCAUGCCGCUCUUCCUGUUCUUAGUCCUACUUCUGGAUGGAUGAGAGUUCAGAAAAGCUUUCCGGCCCUAGAUCUCAUCCAUCAUCAUCUCUUCCUUGCACAGAUUCAGAAGACUCCAAGUCAUGCACGAUCAGCUCCUAUUUCUUCAGUCACCUGGGGCCUGGUUUUCUCUUUUUCAAACACAUUAAGUCCUGUCCCUCUUCAGGACUUUUAUUCUUGCUGCAUCCUUUACCUGGAAUGCCUUUAAAGGUGAGCAUGGUCAGUUUUCAUGGUCUUUGAUAACUUUGAUUACUUUAUUGGUUCCCAAAUACAACAGUCUCAGUAAAUCAGGAUGACGUUGGCUGGAGCAAUUUACAAUACAUGUGCAUUCACUAUUCCUGAGGACAAGAAAAAAGGUCCAUACCAGGAGAAAUAUUUCUACUGUGACUUCGGGAAUUUCUUCAAAGUCUUCUACCUGAAGAUGUCAUUUGUGUGACCCAAGGACAUUAGACUAAAGCAUCCGGAAUGUACAGCACAGAACAAGCAAAAGAAACUCCACUACAACUCAACUGUACUCAGAUAAUGAAGAAUACAACCUUUUUCCUCAAACAGAAUAAAACAAUGGAGCACAUAGUCUAGAAAGCGAAAGAAAAUCAGAUACGUUAUUUGUAUUAGUUUCAAAACUUCAGUAUCCUAACAGACCUGGCAUGUUUACAAUUACUUGUUGUAGGAAAAUAAGGUUUAAACACAAUUUGCAGUACAUAUUGUAUAAAAUGAGAUAUACUGGUUUCCACUAUAUAAAAAAGCCAGAGAAUCUCAAUUUAUGGAAAUAAAUUAGAUAAAUAAUUUUAAACAUUUUGUGACUCUGAGAAGAUAAAUUAAUAUUCACUAGAAUGCUGGAUUAACCAUGCCAACAGCAAUUCAUGUAACAAAAGUUCCAGUAAAGCCUCAGUAAAUAAUCAAUUAGAAUCAUUUAAAAUAAACAAAAGAUUGAGUAAAAAUACUCCUGGCAGUAGCACUAGUUUUAUUUUUAAAAGAUCAUUCUUACUACAGCUAUAGCUGAAGGUAUAAAACAUUUGCCAGAAUAAUGGUCUAAAGGAUACAUGGUUUUUAGUAUUUUUGAUUUCAUGAUUACUUUGAACGUUAUUGUUCAGAAAAAUCCUGAUUUUCCUUUAGAGGUAAUUUUACUAAGUUGGCUGCAAGACUUCUCAAAGUGAUUUUACAAUAUCCCAAGUUCUUAGAUUUUAUUUUUCCUGUGGGUACUUUUCUUUCCUGUGAUGAUCAGCUAGAAAAUAAGAUUAACUAGUAUUUAUUUUACUCUUAAAUUUCUAGGUGUACACUUACCUUAUGAAUUGCUAUGUAAUUUCUGCUUAAGUUAAUGACCUUCUCUGGGACCCCACAGUGUCACCGGUAGAGGUGAUCUGUAACAGGGAUUCUAACCUCCUCUCCGUCCCUGCAGACAGGACGGUCCCGGUAAGUCACCAUCGGCCCCGCUGCCUCCCCCAGCUGCUCAGUGAUGCGGCCUGUUGUCUGCUUUCUCCUUCUUCAGGGAAAUCAUUGAUCUAAGAUGACUUUUAAUCCUAAAAAGUCUGUGAGUCUGUACUUAUCAAGAGAUCAAAAAUAACCAUCUGAAAUCAUGCAACCUUAAGAUGGAUGUUUUUCUCUCCUUUCAUGUAGCCUCUAUUAAGCACUGUGCAGAGCUCUGAUACAACCGACAGGGUUCCUGAAUUAAAUCAUCUUUUUGUGAGAUUCUUCAUUAAAAACCAAACAAAAACAUACAAUUUAAAGAAAGGGUAAAGUCUAUGCUACCAUGGCUUUCAGGUACAUUCUCUGCCUACCACUCAUCCCUGUCCAUUUGAUGAAAUUAGUAAGAAAUCUGUACAACAAAUUAAGAGUAGCAUCUGACAGGCAUUGCACAACGCUUUAGUCCCAAGCUUUCAAAGAAGGUAAGAGGUCAAAGCUUAAGUUUACACAUGGUUUGGCUACUCCAAGAUUCUAGGCUAUAGCUAGGUUUACUGGUUACCUGCAAAAACAUGUUAAGGUGAGAUAGCUCACUAAGAUACAGAGGUAUCUGUAAGGACAGAAUGUGCUGGCAUCUCUUUUAUCACUCUAGGGACCUACCUAUGACAUUAUUUGUAUAGGUUGAGCAAUUUAUAUCUACAGUAUCAGCUAUUUAAUUUUGGACAAGUUUUUAAGUGUCAUUGGCAAAAUCAGACCAGAAUUUCAAUUUUGAAUAUAUAGUGUAAAUCUCUUUUCCCUAAACUAUAAACCCUUUCCCCUGCUUUUCAGAAACAUAAUUGCAUAAUUCAAACUCCUUCAAUACAGUGACCUAGUUCCCCCUCUUGAUGUUAUAAACAGCUCAUGUAACUAUGGUAACCAUCCAGGGAAAAUUGAAUGUUUUUCUGGUCAGCAAUAUGCAAAGUAUACCAUAUGUGCUAUUUUUUUCUCUCUGGGAUAACCAAAGUGAGUCAUACAUGUUUACUGUUCUCCUCAGUUAGGGGAAUAUUUUAUGAUAACUGAAUUUUCUCUUGACUACAGUCCCAGUCAUUUAUAGUCCUUUUAUUAAAAUGUUUUACAAUCGUCUCUUGCUGUUAGUAGUCAUUCUAAAUCCUGAACAGUAUCAUAACCUUUAGUAGGAUUGAUUGAAUAACCAGCUUAAAAUCUGGCAAUCUACUGUGUAAAUGAAAUGUACAGGCUGACAUUGCUCAGAUUUCUAAUAUUCCAUCUUGACAAUCUGGUAUUUUCUUUGUCAUUCAGUCCUUGCCAAAGCAUCUCCUUAAGGCAAAAAACUAAAAUGAAUUACAUCUUGGGGGUAUACUAGACACUGAGAAGA